rnacentral:lncRNA from 1 species
GGAAACAGAAAGCAAGAUCCUGUAUUAACAUCUCGGAAACGGACAGCAAGAUCCCGCAUUAACAUCUCGGAAACGGACAGCAAGAUCCUGCAUUAACAUCUCAGAAAGGUACAGCAAGACCCCGCAUUAACAUCUCGGAAACGGACAGCAAGACGCCGCAUUAACAUCUCGGAAACGGACAGCAAGACCCCGUAUUAACAUCUCGGAAACGGAAAGCAAGAUCCCGCAUUAACACCGUGGAAACGGACAGCAAGAUCCCGCAUUAACAUCUCGGAAACGGAAAGCAAGAUCUUGCAUUAACAUCUCGGAAACGGACAGCAAGAUCCCGCAUUAACAUCUCGGAAAUGGACAGCAAGAUCCCGUAUUAACAUCUUGGAAAUGGACAGCAAGAUCCUGUAUUAACGUCUUGGAAAUGGAAACAGAAAGCAAGAUCCCAUAUUAACAUCUCGGAAAUGGACAGCAAGAGCCUGUAUUAACAUCUCAGAAACAGAAAGCGAGAUACCGCAUUAACAGCUCGGAAAUGGACAGCAAGAUUGCGUAUUAACAUCUCGGAAAUGGACAGCAAGAUCC